rnacentral:piRNA from 1 species
UUCAAAUUAAAAACCGAACAGCACAUC